rnacentral:rRNA from 1 species
GACGGAGGGCGCAAGCGUUGUUCGGAAUUACUGGGCGUAAAGCGCGGGCAGGCGGUCUGUUAAGUCGGCUGUGAAAACCCGGGGCUCAACCCCGUGGAAUGCAGACGAUACUGGCAGACUGGAGACCGGUAGAGGCUAGCGGAAUUCCAGGUGUAGCGGUGGAAUGCGUAGAUAUCUGGAAGAACACCUGUGGCGAAGGCGGCUAGCUGGGCCGGGUCUGACGCUCAUCCGCGAAAGCGUGGGGAGCAAACAGG